UGAGUAACCUGCCCUUAACUCUGGGAUAAGCCUGGGAAACUGGGUCUAAUACCGGAUAUGACUCCUCAUCGCAUGGUGGGGGGGUGGAAAGCUUUAUUGUGGUUUUGGAUGGACUCGCGGCCUAUCAGCUUGUUGGCGAGGUAAUGGCUUACCAAGGCGACGACGGGUAGCCGGCCUGAGAGGGUGACCGGCCACACUGGGACUGAGACACGGCCCAGACCUCCGUACGGGAGGCAG
rnacentral:rRNA from 1 species